rnacentral:rRNA from 1 species
UACGGAGGAUCCAAGCGUUAUCCGGAAUCAUUGGGUUUAAAGGGUCCGUAGGCGGUUUGGUAAGUCAGUGGUGAAAGCCCAUCGCUCAACGGUGGAACGGCCAUUGAUACUGCCAGACUUGAAUUAUUAGGAAGUAACUAGAAUAUGUAGUGUAGCGGUGAAAUGCUUAGAGAUUACAUGGAAUACCAAUGCGAAGGCAGGUUACUACUAAUGGAUUGACGCUGAUGGACGAAAGCGUGGGUAGCGAACAGG